GUGAGUAUAGUGGAUGUGGGUGG
rnacentral:miRNA from 15 species